rnacentral:rRNA from 1 species
UACGGGGGGAGCAAGCGUUGUUCGGAAUCACUGGGCGUAAAGGGAGUCUAGGCGGUUUGGUAAGUGGGAUGUGAAAUUCCCGGGCUCACCCCGGGACCUGCAUCCCAAACUGCUGGGCUGGAGCACUGUAGAGGCAGGCGGAAUUCCGGGUGUAGCGGUGGAAUGCGUAGAGAUCCGGAAGAACACCGGUGGCGAAGGCGGCCUGCUGGGCAGUUGCUGACACUGAGGCGCGACAGCGUGGGGAGCAAACAGG